GAGGAAGAAACCAAAUUUAUUGAAGGAAAUCUCAGUUUACUUGCAAACUCAGAGUCACAGCUUCCUGCAUCUGAUCAGCUUCCAUUCUUUCUUUAACAUUUCAAUUUCAGUGCCCAGAAUACAAUUAUCUCCAUCUCAAUCACUAGUUGAAUGUUCUUUUUCGUUUGCUUAUUUUUUAAUUUGAAAUAGUUACACAUGCACAUGCAAAGUGAAUUUAAAGAGUGUAGAAAAGUACAAGGGAAAUAAGUCAUAAAUCAACCUUUGGAAUAUAUAAAAAGUCUAAUAAUUGAUUUGAUAAUGGUAGCACAUAUGUGCCAGGCACCAUGCAAAGCUCUUUGCAUCCAUUUUCUCACUGACUUCUCUCAAUAAUCUUAUGAGAUCAGUACUGUUAUCACUCUCAUUUUAUUCUAUUUUAUUUUUAUUUAUUUUUUUAAGUAGGCUCCACACCUGGCAUGGAGCCCAACACAGGGCCCAAACUCACAACCCUGAGACCAAGACCUGAGCUGAGAUUAAGAGUCAGAUGGUUUACCAACUGGGCCCCCCAGGUGCCCCAUCACUCUCAUUUUAAUGAUGAGGGAACUGAGGCUCAAAGAGAUUAAGAAAUUUGAUCAAAAUCUCUCAGCUAGUGAGUGAUAGAAUCCUAUCUUGAACCAAAUCUGUCUGACCCCAAAUCCCAUGUUCCAAAAAUGAUACUAAAGGUGUGAGCUAUUCACCACCAUUAUCAUCUCAGAUUCAUCUUUUCAACCAUAUGCCUUGUGACCUAGCUUAACCAUGUAACUAAAAAUCCAUCUAUUAGGAGUCUUUAUUGUGGGCAGGACCAAACAUCUUGUUAGAGAUCUUCAUAGCUUAGCUUGUACAAUUCAUUCCUUGAGUUUGACCAAUCCAUUUCUCCAAUUUGUAGGAAACAAGGAAAACUGAGCUGGGGAUUUCUU